GAUAUCAUAAAGGGGGCAUUUUUUUCCAUGGUUUAAGAAGCAUGAAACCUUAUCUGAAAUUGUGUUUUAAAACUUUAAAAGUUGUGUAACAAUUAGGUCUAAGGGGAUUGCCAGAUAUAUUUUAGAACAAGGGAAAUCAUCAGUUGGAAAUUUCAAUCAAUAGUUUUAUCAUGCAUGCCUUGCCGCCAUCAUUGAUUAUAUCCGCCAACAUAUAGGCUGUCUACUCGUUGAUCUGAAAGCAAAGAAUAUCUUUAAACUGAGAAGAAAUUUACAAUACCGAGGUUGAAUGCAACUCUUAACUAUCAUGUAAGUAGAUUUUGUACAAUAUUUCAAGUAUAUUCAAGAUUUGCACC